rnacentral:lncRNA from 1 species
UUUUCAGUGUGUAAACACGGGUCCACAAAUGCCAGGUUAUCCAUUAUUAGGUAGGUCUUCCAGUCCAGGAUUAUGGAACACUAAAUUUUAGAUUGCCCCCUAUAAAAGCUCAUUUCCUCUUUUUUUUUAUUUAAACCAUCUCAAGCCAAGCUGCCCCCCACUCCUCCACCAACAACCCGCGGCCAGCAUCCCCGGGGAAAGGCUGUUGACCACGGCCCAAGGUUAAGACAAGCUGAACAAAGCAGCCAAUCAGCGGAGGAGGGCUCCGGGGUGCUGAUGCUCGGAGACAAAUAGUACGGUGCCGAGCGGAUCGAUGACUACUUGAUUGCGCAUGAAUACAACAUACAUGUUGCCAAUGCUUUGCCAGCGCUCCCAGCGGGCGCCCAUGCAGAUCAGAGAGCGUAGGAAGAACUGAUAAGGGAUCCCCCGUGUGCAAACCUACGCUCUCUCCUCCCCAGCCGGAAAGCAUCCUACAGGAGGACCAGGACCGCAGCAUCCCUGUGCUGGAAUGUUCUCAUUCAAAGGAAAUACUAAUACUUGAAUCCCAAACCACAGAUGUUUAAAGAAGCAAUGAAAAUAGGAACAAGUGAUGAUUUAAGGUAAUACCUUUAUAUAUUUUUUAAAAAUUGAUUUCUUGUUUUUAUAACACCUACAUUUCCUACUAUUUCCUUUCUCUUUCUUCCUCCCAGAGAUCUGUCCUUUAUGCAGUGGUGUUAAACUCAAAUAGAAAUGGGGUUGGGGGCACAAAAUCAUAAGUAAGGAUCACUACAGGCUACAUAUUAACUUAGGAAACCAUCUAGUAACAUUAUCUAUGACCUCUUCCAUUGUUAUUGAUUUUAUCAAAUAUUUCCAAUUACAUUUCAAUCUUGUGCCAGUGAACUCAAAAAUAUUACAGACCCAUAUGAAACU